ensembl:lncRNA
UGUAAGGUAACAACUUACAGUAUUAAAAAGAAAACCCCAAAAGAACAAACCCCUCUGAGCAAGCACGAGGCGACAGUGGGAAGGAAAAACUCCCUUUUAAGAGGAAGAAACCUUCGACAGAACCAGGCUCAGGGCGGGGUGGCCAUCUGCCGCGACCAUUCCUGGGGAUUUCAAAAAUGACUUGAUCUGAUCUAAAUGUAAAACUAGCUCAUUUAAAGUGUCCAGUGAGUUUUAGAAAAUAUCUUGCUGUUGAUAUCACGAUGUCACUAUAAAGUGGAAACUUUGUUUCUUCCCUUACACCUCCCAAAAAAUGCCCGCACCGAUGAGAAGCACUUAGAUAUGCAACUUGGUUCUGUGAAUAUCUUUCUUUUGAAAGUUUUAACAAUAUCUUCAUCAAGAUUUUGGAAGUUUAAUUGCCAGAAUGUCACCAAAGAUGCAUGCUUCCAUCUUUUACAGAGGGAUUUGAAAACCCUCUCGCUGAGUUUCUUGAACUUCUCUGGUGGGAUUUUGUCGUAUCUGGCCCUGAUUUCAGUCCAGAUUUUCAUGGUAAGCCGGUUGGAGAUAGCUUCAGCACUUUCAAUGCUGAAGACUGUGCCUGAUUUUUUUGAAACCUGGGAAAUCAGUCCUUCCACAAAGAUUUCCACUGAAAAUCUGCAUCUUUCUUUCUUUUCAUAUGAUUCCAGUCUAUCAGUAACUGUUACUGCCAACAGGUGUUCUUGGAAUACUGAAGUAGUUAUGAUAUUAAAUAUUGGUUGUUCCAUUAAAUUCAUUGAAUCCUCCUCCCCACUCCUCCCCAUUUCCAAUGAUAUUAGUGACAAUUUAUGUAAUUUGUCACAAAUAUCAGUGAAAAUCGCAUUAGCAAUGCAGUCAAAAUAAUUCUGCACUUUUUGGUCUAAAUGCAAAUCCAUCCCCUUGAAUUUGUCCAAGAGUAGAUCCAACAAACGUUUUUGGUGAGAAUGAGGGCACUUUAAAAGUUUACCAAGCUUUGAAAGCACAGCCUGAAUUAAUGUCUCUAACCAUCUUUCAAAGUCUGUUUUUUCAGGUGGCUCACAGUCUACAGAAGAUCUGUGAUGCUGUAUCUUUUUAUAUGACUCCGUUUGACUUACGUUUGUUAACGGUGGGAUGCUGGCUUCAUGUUCAACACAGGAUUUCUGCUGCUGGGGAUCUGGAAUUGGAUUGUUUUCUGGUUUUGCAGCACUGUGUCGGUCAGCAUUUUGACAGCUUUCUUCUGUGUUAGCUGUUUCUUGGCUGUUAGCAUCUAUAUUCUGUGCUGUAUCAAACUCCUGCUCAGCAGAAUCGUCCAAAAAUUUCACAGGUGACAAAACCGUUUUGGGUUUUGCAGCACUGUGUUGGUCAGCAUUUUGACAGCUUUCUUCUGUGUUAGCUGUUUCUUGGCUGUUAGCAUCUAUAUUCUGUGCUGUAUCAAACUCCUGCUCAGCAGAAUCGUCCAAAAAUUUCACACGUGACAAAACCGUUUUGCCAGUAGUGGUGUGGACAGAACAGUUUUCAUGUACAGGGGAGUUCUGGGAAGACCUCAGCGGUGAUACUGCUAGUGACUGUUCACACAGGUCCAUUACGUCCUCUACAAAACCUACAAGCCGCUUAGCGGUGACGCAAUCCGGAUAGCCUGAGGUAAGCUCUAACAACUGCUUGUUCGAAAAACUACUGACCAAGUUAUCCAAGAGGGAUACCAAAGCAUGUACUGUAGAAUUAUCCCCAUUGGUCUGAACUGUUUCAUCAUUUGUCAUUGUGUUACAGUUCGAGCUUGCCAUUUCACUUUUUUGUUUUUUAUGUCUAAAAUGUUGUUUUGUGUUAAACUCCGUGUUUGAACGUUUAAAGCGCUGCUGUCCCGCUGUGUGAAUGCGUUUCAACUGAACAGCCAGGUCUAUAUAUAAGGUCGGUUUAAGGUUUCUUUGUAACGUCACCUGACGUUUCUUUGUAACGUCACCAGUCAAAGGACUGGCCCGCCCCGUCAUAACGAAAGGGGCGGGACAAAUCUGUUGCUUAGCAACUGAAAAAAAGGCACACCGCGCUGAAUGCUACAUCCGGCCUGCGACGGUACACCGCCUCCGCACCACCGUUUAAACAUGAAGUGUGGAUGUUAGAAGAUCCCAAAUAUGUGUGUCUUUUGUCCCCUUUUCGUCUCCUCAUCCCCAAAGGGUCGCAGCGGGCUGCCCCUCCCUGACCGUGGUUCUGCCAGAGGGUGCUUCCUGUUAAAAGAAAUAGUCAGGACCCAGAUGAACCUGUGCUGGAAUUCAGUGUGGGCUUUCUACUUACAGGGUGGUGGGUCUCAGAGGACAAUUGCUACCCCUGUUGAAGUGAACAACGUGUGGAGUGCAACUGGCUUUGUGGCAUAGCUGGCUCUGGCCUUGGACUGUGUGUUUUUACUUUGUACCUAAAUGGGACACUGGACUUUUAACUACUAUUCAUUGUGUUUAUAAAUAAAAUUUUAGAAUUUUAUUGACUGUCAUCUUUUUGCCCACGGUUGGUCAGACCUAGAAUCUGUGUGUGUGUGUGUGUGUGUGUGUGUGUGUGUGUCAUCAGCAGGGUUUUGCAUAAAAGAGUGUGAGCAGGUCAAAAGGUCAAUUCAUUUAUUGUAGUUUUAUGGCAGCACCCUCUAGUGGCCUUGAAGCAAACAGUCUCCUAACUAAGCCAUGGCAUCUCUGGUCUCUCCUACUUUUGUGUGCUCUGCUGGAGGAGCAGCAUUGGAUCUAGUGAUACUGAGUAAGCUGAUUAGGACAGGCCUGGAGAAAUGUGGUUUGCAUGAAGUAUCAGGGAAAAAAACAACCUUGUAUUGUAAAAUAAUAAU